UGGCUGAGUGCUAAAGCACUAGGCUUCCCAACUGGGGGUCCCGGGUUCGAAUCCUGG
rnacentral:tRNA from 1 species